rnacentral:lncRNA from 1 species
CGUAUAAUAGAAAGGUCUCUCCACAAAACCCGGGGAAGAUAGAUUAAAGGUGCGUAGGAGGAUCUAGAGACAAAGAGAACAUUCAGGGUUACUGAAUGUACAGAAAAGGAUGAUGGUUCUUGAACAAGUGAGUAAGGAUUUGGGAGAUAUUUAGGAAGCAGAUUCACAAUACUGAGCUUUCAUUAGAGAGAGGGUAGAGGCAAUGGAAGAAUGUAAUAUGACUCACAGCAAUCUAGUCUGGUUGUGCCAGUCAUGGACAACAGCAGUAUAGGUGCAGUGGCUUUGGGGGAAAGAAUGAAUUAUAGUUUAGAGAUGCUUGGAAGUCACUAAUGUGUAAACGUAUAAAAGACAAGUGUAUAUAUAGGUCUGGAACUAAAAAUAAGUCUUGGCUGGAGAUAAAUAAUUGAGGAUUAUUUGCAUUUUCAUGGAGAGCAGACCAUGAAACAUUUACCAGUCCACACUGCAUGUGAUCCAAUCUUGGCCAUGGACCCUGGGCACAGUCUGCAUGGUUUCUCCUGGAGGGGGGCGGGUGUCCCCUUUGAUAAGAGAUACAAGAAGAGAUCCCACUACCAGUCUUUCUGCCUUUGGACUACAUUGAAUGAGGAAGUGAUGCCUUGGGAUGAAAGCUAACAUGGCAUCCAGAGCUGCUUCUCUGACCCUCUGGUUCUUGGCCCAGCUGAUAAGGAUCCAGUCCAUGAAUAAGUAAAUGGCUUCCUUCCAGUGGAGAGCUGACAGCUGGGAUUGAAACAAGGUCUGCUUCCUCAACCAGGGUGAUGCAUUGAAUUGUGACACAUGGGGGUCAGUGAAAUUAACUAUCUUUCCCAUGAGAAAUAAUUUAUCAUUCAGCAUUUGCUAUUAAUGUGCCUCUGCUGCAAGUGAAUGAAGA